UUAAUGUCAUGGAUGAUUUCAUAUAAAAGUUUUCAACCACAAAAUCAAACUUUGGCUCCAAGUAAAAAUCUUGCAAGAGAUCAUUUUCAAAGACUUGACCAAAAUAUAUGGCCCCAUAACAAUAUAUUUAUAAACCAUAAUGUACAGCAUGUUCUUUUAUGUGUUACAUCAAACAACUUUUAUUCUCAUGUAAUGUUGAGUUCCAUUAGAGCUGUAUGUUCCAUGUGCAGCAAGGCAUGCUUCAUCUCAAGGAAGGCAAAGUAGACAGACGUGUGGUGCAAAAGAACCUGUGUUUGGAAAUCUUCAUCCGCAUUUUUGAUAUGCGUAGUUUCUGACCAUUCAUGUUCUUCCUUGUGAUUCCAAGAAUUGACAGACUUUACGACAACGAAGACAAGAUUGCACAACUCCUACAAUGACAAAGAAAGAAGAAAUCCUCAAAAUUAACCUGUCACGAUAUAUAGACAUUGGACUGCAAUAGACGCGUUGAGUAAGACUGAGUCAUAUUUUGAACAGGUUAUAUGCAUCCGCUAAAACUAGAAGAAUUAAUAAGAGAUGACGUUUUCUAGCAAGUAAAAUAAACUACUACCACCGCAAAUAUAAGCAUCUCGGUAACUGAAACAUGAGUAAAUCCUUUUUUGUUAUCUAACCUUGAAUUCAUUCCGAACAGGAUACACUUCAUUGUCUUUCCCCUAGUUCUGAUGUUCAAACCAACGCAAGAUUAAAUACCAUUGAAAGCUUCACAGAUUUCCCAUCUCAAUUUGAGAAGAGACCAUCAAAACUUUCCCCUUCCCAGAUAAUUUUGGGUGCUUUGUCCAAAUCCUAACAAUGAAAACGUAACAUAUUUAUAAUAACCAUAAUGUACAAUACGUCUCGUGUGUUACAUUAAACAACAUUUUGUCUAUGUACCUCUUUUAUGUUUCAUUAGAGCUGUAUGUACCUCUUUAAGUCGCUUGGUGUACGGUGAUUCACAAAUCACUUGGUUCCGAAGAUGAUUUGGAAAUCACUGGACACAAAGUGACUUGCAAAUCGCUGGACACCAAGGGAUUUGCAAAUCGCUGGACAACGGGCGACUUGCAAAUCGUUGGACACCAAGCGACUUGCAAAUCGCUCAGCCAACAAUGUUUUGUCCCCUUUGGUUUCUUUCCAAAUCAAGUCUCCUAUGAAAUUUUUGGUCAAAAAAUUAGCCUUUUUGGCUCCGGACUCCAAUAAUAAUCAUGUCAUGUUCCGAUUUUUGUUGGCUUAGACAAAUUUAGAGUAACAAGAAAGUCAUUGUCACAUCCCAGACAAAUGUCACAUCGACAAAACACACGAAAGACGUCGAUUGUUAAUAUAUUCGAAAGUUAGCCUUAGACCUUGUGAUACAUUUUAAAGUCAUGCAACCCUAAUCAGAAACCAAAAGCAAACAAUACAAGCUAUCACAUCCAUAGUCCCAGAUGUUUAGUCAAACAUGGGAAUAAAAUAAUCACUGAGCCUUAUCAAUUAAAGCUUCUACAACUUGAGCAGAGACACCUCCAAAUAAUCACUGAGCCUUAUCAAAAUCCUAACAAUGAAAAAGCAAUAUCUUUCUUUAUAAUCUAUAACCAUAAUGUACAACAUGUUUUCAAGGAAGAUAAAGUAGGCAUCUGCUGGUGAAAAAGAACCUGAGUAUGGAAAUCUUCAUCUGCAUUUUUGAUUGCGUAGUUUAUUUCUGACAGUUCAUGCUUUUCCCUGCAAUUCCAAGAAUUGAUGGAUUUAACAAAGCGAAGAAAAGAUUGAACAAAUCCUACAAUGACAACAAAUACACAUCAAAAUCAAACUAAUAGACAACAAAUCACAUCUUCUUCUGUCCAAAUUAAUAGUCCUAUGAGCUAUUCAUUUGCCUUAUGAUUUUUAAGUUAGUUGCACCAAACACAUAAGGGGUUAAAACACGUUACUACUUACACAUAAGUUAGUUUCCUUAGAAAUGAAAAGUGCUAAUCAGCUAUUUUCAAUUAGCUAACUGAGUAAACUAUUAAUUUAUUUGUUGUUUUUAAAAUUAGGCUUAUGCUUCUGAAACAUGUUGAGCUAAACAAGAAACCACAAAAUGGUUAAGAAUUUUGAGAAGAUUAGUGUUUUUCUCAAAAUAGCCAUAGUUUUACGUGUUCAAUUUGAAGACUAAUAUGCAAACAAGAGUGGUCAAAAUAUACCAACUCUGUG
rnacentral:lncRNA from 1 species